CCAGCUGAGGCCAGAGUGAGUCUGAGCCCCUGAACUGCCAGGUCAGUGCUCAGCCAGGGCAGACCCUUGCUGAGGGCAGAAAGCAUAUUUACUGGGCUGCACUGAUGACCUAGAUCCCAUAUGGAAAACAUAAUUAAUCUCCAAGAUGGGGUGAGAGAUGCAGAAGAAACCCCAGCACAUUGAAACAAACGGAAAUAACCAAAAUGAAAUGCUCAGGAAACAUCCAAGCAAAGUAGAUCUGAAAGCUUUUUUCUGGCACGAUCUAAUAUAUUAAGCAUUCCAUUCUAGAGAUGGAGAAAUGGACAUAUGCUGAAAUUACUUUUAUGAACUCAACGCAUCAGAAGCAGGGACUGAAAACAGAAACAAGAUGGAAACAAUUGAUGCUUUCACUGAAAAAUGAUUGAUAUGAUCUUUUCUGAGAACUUUAGUAAGGCAGCUGAAUUAUUGCCUGGUACGUUUUAGGAUUUCACUUGACAGUCCUCAGAUAUCAUAAUCUGUAUGUGGAUCCAUUCAUCUACUCCUCUUUUUCCUAUGAAACCUGACAUAUCUAAGAGUGUAUUCAAUCACACUCCUACCCCAGCCAACAAUACAGCCCUUGAGACUACAACCAGAAUUUUUUCAAUGGAAACAAAUAAAAAAGAAAAAAAAUAUUGCUCUGCCAGACACCAUGAAUUUAUACUUAUUUCCUGUGCAAUUCUUGUGGAAUAGACUGUAUUGUCUAGUUUUCCUCUGUUUUUUAAAUAAAUCUUUAUGGAAAUCUAAUAUCUCUGUGGGUUGUUAAAAUCUCUAGGGAAAGACUAUCAACUACUGAAACAUGCAACCACAAACUCCAAACAUUUUUCCUUUGUAGUUAUAAAUGUUAUACUUUAAAAAAAUAAAAAAUCAAAAAUACCAUAGGUGUUAUUUUCUG